AAAGAACGUGGGAAAGCGAAAGAAGGUGACGCAGAAAAGGUCAGAAUCUAAAAGCUCUGCAACUUUAAUGGCAAAAGGGGCCCUCCCAUCCUAUCCCUUUGAUUAUUAAUAAGGAAAGCAUCUAAAGGUAGCUAACAUUUAAAUUUACACAAAUGUAAAGUUAUCAUUAAAUUAUUAUUUUAUUUUGAUAGUGUUCAAGCAACGUAAUAUUUUUAAGUGUAUGGUUUGAAUUGAAGGAAAG
rnacentral:misc_RNA from 1 species